UUGGGGAUUAACUAAUAUUUCAAAUGCCAAGGACUGAAUUACUCUUCAAAUUUUCUCCCAUUAUAGCUUAUAAAUCAUUACGUACAACUUCUUAUCUCUUGAUCUCUUAUCUGGCAGUCAGCGACAAGUGAGGCUGAGUGAUUUUGGCAGGUGAAAGCCCAUGAAAACUACAGCAGGAAGUGUUGUGUUUCUUGCCUGAAGAGGGUGUGUCGCAGUCGGGGAAGCAGAAGAAGAGGAGGAGAUGGGCAGACAGGUAUGCGAACACUGGAAUGUGUAUUUCAGUCACACCUGGGAUGGACACGCCCACCAGACCUGGCCUUUCCCAUUCCAUUGGUCGAUCUGUUCAUGACCGACAGCACAAGCAGCAAAUCGACAUCCACUUCUCGCUGCUAAGGGGGUUUGACCUGUGAUCCCCAAAUGUGAACCAAUAGCGUGUGAAGGUUGGCUUGCGGAUAGGUGGGGUGGAGAGGAAAUAAAACUCAUGUGUGGGGUGUGUCCACAGUGGCAAACGUACAGCUCGCCACGCAGAUCUCCUGCUUCAGAUCUAUGGCUUGUGCAAGGCGGACUUGGACUCAUCCUGGCUGAAAGCUACUGAGAGGUGCAGGAAAAGUCAUAGAUGUUCUUCAGAAUUGGGUAAUGUCAGAUGCAGUGGUGAGACGUGUCCUGAAGACGGACGACAGAGCAGCCCAGCUAACGAUGGUGAAUCCGUUGGACGGAGAACUGAUAAGGGCAUGUGGCUGACACAUACAGCUUUGUGUCCGCUGGGUGCUCAGGUCAGAAAAUGUGGUCAAAUUGCAUUUUUUUUUUUUGUAAAUGGCACAUAACUUAAUUGAUGUUGUUAAUGUGUUUAUUGAUACAGACACUGAUUUUCUCUGAUUUUUUUUCCUGUCAAUUGUUGUCAUAUUUAUGAAUAUUACCAUUUAUAUUAAAUUAAGGUCCCAGUGAGAACUCAUUUUGAUUGGAUAUUUGUCUAAAUAUUUUACUAAAGAUAUAAUGAAAUGCAGGUGUAUGCAUGUAUAUGUACAGUAUAUGGAAAGCUCAGUAUAACCUUGUAGGUUGCAUUGAAUAUUGUAUAUUUAAAUGUGAAUAAUCAGUAAAUUCAGUGUUCUGAUUCAUUUGGUUUUACCAAAUAUAGCACAUUUCUCAAUUACAUUCAUCUCUGAACUCUUAAAAAGGUUAAAACAGUAUUAUGCAUUGCAUAAUGAUAUUAAAGACCUUUUUGUUCCAGAAAGAACAGUUAAUAAUAAAAAAAAUUGGAUGGGGAAUGGAUAGGUUCGUCAUAGGCUGAUUAUUGCCAAUCAAAAACAUUGCUUAACAUUUAAAAAUAUAUAUAUACUUUCUUAAUUUUUUGAUUUUUUAAACUGGCAGAGCAUGUCUGUGCUACUUGAUCAUCUUUUUAUGACAAAUAAUAAAAACAUUCUGUAAGCAACUGAAUUUCAUAUAAACCCUCUUGAAGCGAAGACAAUUGGCAUUAAAAAUAAAAAUUUUAUUCCAGAUGUCAUGCUACAGCAUUUUGUAAAAAUUGGGGCACAUUUUAUACAGAAUAGCAAUUAAAUUAAUUUGAGCAUUUAAAAAAAGACUUUGUAAAACCUGAUUUUACACUAAAAUUCUUCUUUUGAUACACUGUAUCAAAUAACACAAAUGACUUUUAAUUAAAAGUUAGAUCAAAUGUCUAAUUUGUAAAGCUACGCAUUGACUAAUAGCAUUGCAGUAUAUAAAAUCUCACUAAUUAUUUAACGUAUACAUUCACACGUCGAGUUGCAAUUUUAUUGCAUAGGCAUUUUGGUUAAUUCUCUGAUACGUCAUCCUGCAUGCUGAAACAUUCAACCCGGCUCUUUGUACUUUAUAUAAAGUAAGAAUAAGUGCUGGUGUGAAAACUUGGAAUGUGAAAAUUAGCCAUUAAAAGGUGACACUUUUCUUUUUUUUAAAUGAGAGUGAUUUGGUGCUGUCUUAAGCCAGGCCCACCAUGGAAGCACUGAGAUCCCACAGUCUGCGGGCCGCAACAUCAUCCCUGCCCUGAGGAGCAGUCUCUUUAGGUGCACAAUCACUGCAAAAUGACCAAAUAACAGAGUGAAAUGAUCAUACUUGAAUGUUAAUGUUCAAAUUACACUGUGUGAAUAAAAGAUUUACAAACAAGCGGUUUUGUUCUUAUCCGUUAUCAACUUAUUAAAAGACUGAGAGUGCGUUCACACUGGGUCAAGCAAAUAAAGUCUGGUGUGAUUGCAGUAAUACUGUGGUUCAUUUGAAUAACAUAAGCUAUGUUACCACUAAAGAUGCUAAUUAAAUUUAUGCACAAAACUGGAUUAUCGCAUAAAAGACGUCCGAAUAAAUUACCUGGUGUCAAUUAUCAAAAAACUGAAUUUCUGCAGUAGCAGAAGCUGCGUCAAUCUUUUCUUUAUUUAAUAAAUUACUUGCGUCUCAAAAGGCAAUGCCGACACGCAAUGAACACGUGGUGGUAUUUGAAGGCUUGAGACUUGCCAGUUCUGGAGGUUAUUAAUAAUAUAAUAACACUAAUACUGAGAUGGUUAAGGCAUUUUAGAAUGACCAAACAACAUUUCGGAUGCUUUACAAUGUGCUCAGCCUGCUGGUUUAUCCAUUCGCACACAUUUUUAUCAUCACAUGAUCUCUCAUAACAAAAUCGCAUGACUUUUUUUAAUGUGCAUACUAGAAUUUGUUUGGUAAAAGUGUUUCCAUUAUAGCUUAUGCUUAUCUUUUCUUAUAGAAUAAAAAGUUGAUUCUACUCAGUUAUGCAUAUAAUUUAUGAACAAAAACAGAAUAAAAUGUCAAACAAUUUGACCAUAAAAUAGACAGAAUGUUUUACCAUAUCUCUGCGUAUAAUUACGAUGUUGUCCAUUACACGGUCACACAUUUACACAUGCCGUGAUAAGCAAAAAACUUCCAAAAUCCCAGUUAGAGCUACUGACCUGUAGUAAAGACCACUGCUGUGCUUUAGACUCUCGUCCACUGCGCAGUAGAUAGUAGUCUGAGCUCCCUGCCAAGGGUUUUUGAAGAAGAAAUAAAAGGGAAGGAUUAUGAGCUUCCUCCACAGAUUGGAGAAAACGUGUCGUCCAAGCUCAGUACGGAUUACGCCAGGAUGGAGAGCAUAAGUGGUCACUCCUGUGUCUGAAUAAUAUACAGAGAGAAUCUUUAAACGCAGUAUGGUUCAGUGUGACAUCUAUGUUUUUUUUUUUAAACUAUUAGAGUGAAGAACAUUUGUUUAUGGUUUACCUCUUAGCUUGAUAGCUAGUUCACGGGUAAACAGAACAUUAGCCAGUUUACUCCGAUAAUAGCUCUGGUAUGGAUCAUAGUCUUUAUCCAUGUUUAUGUCAUUAAAGUUAAUCUUGCCUGUCAAACACACACAAAGAUGAAAGGUUCAGUGGGUUACAUGCUCCGAAAUAAAAAUUUUACAUAAAUAUUUACAUUAUGAAGUAAUACAAUGACUGCACUUUGACCUACUUUGUCACAUUUUGUCAAAACUGAACAUCAUGCCAAGGAGUUUGAUAAGGCGGUACAAUCAGGCCCGGUUUUUGCCAAUCACGGAGUGGUGGCUUGAUAGAAAUCCCAGGUGGGCAAUUUUUGGGGUUGGGGUUAGGAGGCACAUACAUUGUAAAAUUCAAACAAUUGAAUGAAAGAAUAGCAAAAGCAGUGCUUCUCUCACAUAUACUUUACUUGGGUGGGCCUCCCAGGUAUAUUAAC
rnacentral:lncRNA from 1 species